rnacentral:rRNA from 1 species
CCUACGGGUGGCAGCAGUGAGGAAUAUUGGUCAAUGGCCGUAAGCCUGAACCAGCCAAGUCGCGUGAGGGAUGACGGUUCUAUGGUUUGUAAACCUCUUUUGUCAGGGAAUAAAGUGCGGGACGUGUCCUGUUUUGUAUGUACCUUAUGAAUAAGGAUCGGCUAACUCCGUGCCAGCAGCCGCGGUAAUACGGAGGAUGCGAGCGUUAUCCGGAUUUAUUGGGUUUAAAGGGUGCGUAGGCGGAAUGUAAAGUCAGCGGUAAAAUUUCGGGGCUCAACCCUGAAGUGCCGUUGAAACUGGGGGGCUUGAGUGAGUGAGAAGCAUGCGGAAUGCGUGGUGUAGCGGUGAAAUGCAUAGAUAUCACGCAGAACCCCGAUUGCGAAGGCAGCAUGCCAGGGCAUGACUGACGCUGAUGCACGAAAGCGUGGGGAUCGAACAGGAUUAGAUACCCGUGUAGUC